rnacentral:rRNA from 1 species
UACAGAGGUCCCAAGCGUUGUUCGGAUUCACUGGGCGUAAAGGGUGCGUAGGUGGUGAGGUAAGUCGGAUGUGAAAUCUCCGGGCUCAACCCGGAAAUGGCAUUGGAAACUACCUUGCUGGAGGAUUUGAGGGGGGAUUGGAAUACUUGGUGUAGCAGUGAAAUGCGUAGAUAUCAAGUGGAACACCAGUGGCGAAGGCGAAUCCCUGGAAAAUACCUGAACACUGAGGCACGAAAGCUAGGGGAGCAA